AUCUGAUCGGGGAAGCUCGGGUUGAGCAGG
rnacentral:antisense_RNA from 1 species